rnacentral:rRNA from 1 species
UGAGUUUGAUCAUGGCUCAGGAUGAACGCUGGCGGCGUGCUUAACACAUGCAAGUCGAACGGUGAAGCAGAGCUUGCUCUGUGGAUCAGUGGCGAACGGGUGAGUAACACGUGAGCAACCUGCCCCGGACUCUGGGAUAAGCGCUGGAAACGGCGUCUAAUACUGGAUACGAGCAGCGGAGGCAUCUUCAGCUGCUGGAAAGAUUUUUUGGUCUGGGAUGGGCUCGCGGCCUAUCAGCUUGUUGGUGAGGUAAUGGCUCACCAAGGCGUCGACGGGUAGCCGGCCUGAGAGGGUGACCGGCCACACUGGGACUGAGACACGGCCCAGACUCCUACGGGAGGCAGCAGUGGGGAAUAUUGCACAAUGGGCGGAAGCCUGAUGCAGCAACGCCGCGUGAGGGACGACGGCCUUCGGGUUGUAAACCUCUUUUAGCAAGGAAGAAGCGAAAGUGACGGUACCUGCAGAAAAAGCGCCGGCU